UACGGGGGGAGCAAGCGUUGUUCGGAAUCACUGGGCGUAAAGGGCGUGUAGGCGGUCAGAUAAGUGGGACGUGAAAUGCCCCGGCUCACCCGGGGACCUGCGUCCCAAACUGUCUGACUUGAGUAUGGGAGAGGAUGAGGGAAUUCCUGGUGUAGCGGUGAAAUGCGUAGAUAUCAGGAGGAACACCGGUGGCGAAGGCGCUCAUCUGGCCCAAUACUGACGCUGAUGCGCGAAAGCUAGGGGAGCAAACGGG
rnacentral:rRNA from 1 species